UUUACAUUUCAAGCUCUCAAGCAUAUAUGGAGGUGAAAGGGAUCCUGCUUUUUCCAGCAGAUUUUGUAAGCCUAGCACCUGGGAGGGAAUUGGUGUGUGAGGUGAGUUUGUGAGUUGUUUCAGAUUGUUCCUCCGUGAUAUGCAAUUUAAUUAUUUAAAUAUUAUUCGUACAGAUAAUAAAUGGUUACCUGCAACUGGUAUCAAAAAUCAUUCCUGCAAAGACUAGGGUUAUUGGCUCUUACGAAAUGAUCUCAAUCUGGAACGGAACAUAAAGGAGGAUGAGAUUGGUGAAAAUAAUGGUUAUUUUCCAAGGUGUUCACUACAAUUACACAUCUUAAAUCUUUAAUUAUCACUUGCAGCUUGACGUAUUGGAGUGGGAUAUACUGAUUGGAGCCGUCUGCAAGGAACAUCGUUGGACAAUGGUCGUGAGUGCUUUUUGAUGAGUGCCAUUUAUGCAACUAUAUACACAAAAGUCAAAUCUAGUGCAUUGAGGUAUCCUAUAUGUAAAAGGCCAUGGAUCCAAAGAUCAUUCCAUCAUUGUGGACCCAUUUUGAGCCACUCCAACUCAAAUAAAACAGUGCAGGGAUUCAACAGGGACCUUCAUGCGGAAGAAAAACCUUAAUAUUUCUAGGUGGACAUCAAACACGUGUCCAGCAUCCGCGCCAGCAGAAUUCCACGUCAUGUGGAGUGAUCAUUUGCAAAAUUGAAUGCGACACGUCACCUCCGGCUCCACAUGAUUUGUGUGGGGAAACCCAGCCUGAAGCAGGAGUUCAUUUGUUCUGCCUGCAAGUGACACCAAUUUCUGCCAACUGUCUGUCAUGUCUCCUGUUUGUGUUGUCCUUGUAUCUGGUUUUUGGUUUUGGGUUUUGAUUCCAUGUCCUUUUUUUUCUAUGUCUUGUUGUGUUAUGUGUU